rnacentral:piRNA from 1 species
UUAAAACAUUUUCCUAAGGCUCAAAGAGG